UACAGAGGUCUCAAGCGUUGUUCGGAUUCAUUGGGCGUAAAGGGUGCGUAGGUGGCGAGGUUAGUCUGGUGUGAAAUCUCGGAGCUCAACUCCGAAACUGCACUGGAUACUGCCUUGCUUGAGUACUGGAGAGGAGAUUGGAAUUUACGGUGUAGCAGUGAAAUGCGUAGAUAUCGGAAGGAAGCCCAGUGGCGAAGGCGACUCUCUGGACAGUUACUGACACUGAGGCACGAAGGCCAGGGGAGCAAACUGG
rnacentral:rRNA from 1 species